GAAAUGCGAUAAGUAGUGUGAAUUGCACAAUUCAGUGAAUCAUCGAAUCUUUGAACGCACAUUGCGCCCCUUGGUAUUCCAUGGGGCAUGCCUGUUCGAGCGUCAUUUGUACCCUCAAGCUCUGCUUGGUGUUGGGUGUUUGUCCCGUCUCCGCGCGUGGACUCGCCCCAAAGUGAUUGGCAGCCGGCGUACUGGUCCCGGAGCGCAGCACAUGUCGCGCAAACGAGUGCCUUGGUACGGCGGCGUCCAUAAGCCCCUCUCUCACGCUCUUGACCUCGGAUCAGGUAGGGAUACCCGCUGAACUUAAGC
rnacentral:misc_RNA from 1 species